rnacentral:rRNA from 1 species
UACGGAGGGUGCAAGCGUUAGCCGGAUUCACUGGGUUUAAAGGGUGCGUAGGUGGGUUGGUAAGUCAGUGGUGAAAUCCCCGAGCUUAACUUGGGAACUGCCAUUGAUACUAUCAGUCUUGAAUACCGUGGAGGUUAGCGGAAUAUGUCAUGUAGCGGUGAAAUGCUUAGAUAUGACAUAGAACACCAAUUGCGAAGGCAGCUGGCUACACGAAUAUUGACACUGAGGCACGAAAGCGUGGGGAUCAAACAGG